rnacentral:tRNA from 1 species
UUCCCAGUAGCUCAGUUGGUAGAGCGUCUGACUGUUAAUCAGAGGGUCGCUGGUUCGAGACCAGCCUGGGGAGCCA